AAAGUCGUAACAAGGUCUCCGUUGGUGAACCAGCGGAGGGAUCAUUACCGAGUUUACAAACUCCCAAACCCCUGUGAACAUACCUGUCGUUGCUUCGGCGGACCGCCCCGGGUGCUCUCGCGCCCCGGAUCCAGGCGCCCGCCGGGGACCGCAAACUCCUGUUUUUACAACAUGAAUCUUCUGAGUGGCGUAAAGCAAAUCAAUCAAAACUUUCAACAACGGAUCUCUUGGCUCUG
rnacentral:misc_RNA from 1 species